GAUUCGCACGUGAACGGCGCGGCGGCGCGAGACAAGGGCGUAGCUCCCUAGAUAGCGCCCUACCCCAGAGACCAGAGAUAGCAGUGCCCCGAGUCGACAUAUCCUAGGGUAUAGAGAUGAAAAGAACACAAUUGUAUCAAGUUGUAUUAAAUGAUGUAAUAACUUAGAUUGCAUUUGGAUGAAAAAGAAUUGUAAUUGGUAUGUAAAAGUUGAAUGUAAGCUGGUGAAUGCUUGUAAUAGUUUAGCUAUUUAUGUUUUUGAUACUUCCUUAUGCAACCUGUAUAUUGAGUACUGUUCCUGGUUGGAACCUCUUAUAAUUGUAUCGAUUGCGACGCCUAGAACGUACAGGAAAAA
rnacentral:lncRNA from 1 species